GAGUUGUUUGAUUCUGGAGAGGGAGCCUGAGAAGUGGCUACCACAUCCAAGGAAGGCAGCAGGCAUGCAAAUUACCCACUCCCCAACCUGGGGAGGUAGUGAUGAAAAAUAACAAUACAGGACUCUUUCAAGGCCCUGUAAUUGGGAUGAGUCCACUUUAAAUCCUUUAAUGAGGAUCCAUUGGAGGGCAAGUCUGGUGCCAGCAGCUGCAGUAAUUCCAGCUCCAAUAGCGUAUAUUAAAGUUGCUGCAGUUAAAAAGCUCGUAGUUGGAUCUUGGGAGUGGGCGGGCAGUCUGCAGCGAGGGGAUUCACAGCCCGUCCCAGUCCCCGCGCCCCAGAUGCUUUCAGCUGAGUGUCCCUAGGGGCCCGAAGCGUUUACUUGGGAAAAAAAAAAAAAAAAAAGAGUGUCAAAGCAGGCCCGAGCCGCCUGGAUACUGCAGCUAGGAAUAAUGGAAUAGGACCUCGGAUCUAUUUUGUUGGUUUUCGGAACUGAGGCCAUGAUUAAGAGGGCCGGCUGGGGGCAUUCGUAUUGCGCCGCUAGAGGUGAAAUUCUUGGAGCGAAAGCAUUUGGCAGGAAUGUUUUCAUUAAUCAAGAACGAAAGUCGGAGGCUUGAAGAUGAUCAGAUACCAUCAUAGUUCCGACCGUAAACGAUGCCGACUGGUGAUGGGGCGGCAUUACUCCCAUGACCCGCCAGGCAGCUUCCGGGAAACCAAAGUCUUUGGGUUCGGGGAGGGGGGGGUGGGAGUAUGGUUGCAAAGCUGAAACUUAAAGGAAUUGACGGAAGGGAACCACCAGGAGUGGAGCCUGCGGCUUAAUUUGACUCAACACGGGAAACCUCAUCCGGCCUGGACACGGACAGGAUUGACAGAUCUUUCUCGAUUCCGUGGGUGGUGGUGCAUGGCCGUUCUUAGUUGGUGGAGCGAUUUGUCUGGUUAAUUCCGAUAACGAACGAGACUCUGGCAUGCUAACUAGUUAUGCAACCCCCAUCCCCCAACUUCUUAGAGGGACAAGUGGCAUCCAGCCACCCGAGAUUGAGCAAUAACAGGUUUGUGACGCCCUUAGGUGUCUGGGGCUGCAGGCGCACUACACUGACUGGCUCAGCGUGUGCCUUCCCUACGCCGGCGCGGGUAACCCAUUGAACCUCAUUCGUGAUGGGGAUCUGAUGGGGAUCGGGGAUUGCAAUUAUUCCCCAAUAAUUCCCCAGUAAGUGCGGGUCGUAAGCUUGCAUUGAUUAAGUCCCUGCCCUUUCGAUUGGAUGGUUUAGUGAGGCCCUCAGAUCGGCCCCUCCCGGGUCAGCCCACGGCCCUGGCGGAGCACGGAGAAGAGGGUAGAAUUUGACUAUCUGGAGGAAGUGAAAUUUGUUACAUGUUUAUGUUUGUGAACCUGGGGUAG
rnacentral:rRNA from 1 species